CACGAUGCCAGGCAGCCAGCCAGCCAGGAGCAUCCGACCUGACCGGACUAUAAAGCUAUGCGUCUGGUGCUCCUCUCCUUCUUUUCCUUAGAACCCUAACCUCCGCCGCCUUCGUCUCGAGUCCGGGCCUGAGGAUCUCGCCCGAGCCGCCGUCCUCUGCGGUGCUGUGGGCUCUAAGGAUGUGCUCGUCGCGCUCUUCCAACCACGGUGUUGGUGCCGCGCUCUCCCACCUCUUGAUUUCCCCCGGCCACAUGCUCCUUGGCCACCUCUGCGCCAUCCCGCUGGAGACUAUCGUCGUCACCGGUAUUCGCCACGACCCAGGGCAGUACCUCGACAAAGAACCGUGCACCAUCGUCGUCCGGUGUCCGCCGUUUGCGGUGAGUUCCCCUCUCCGGUCCCUGCUGAGCCUUUGUUGUGCGCGCAUGUCAGUUUCCUACACCGCGUCAGCCCUCAGCCGUCAGCACCGCCGUAUACACCGUCGCCUGUAGCGUGCGUGCUCGCUCAUGUCGCAAGGUAUAAGACGCCCCAGGACCGUCGAUGUCCUGAUGGACGGAUAGGAUUAGCAUCUGCGGUUCCUUCGCGCAGACGGUACGACGACCGUCGAUCUAAGAAUGGUCGAAGGAGAUUAGGCGUUAGCAUACCUCUUCGUCCAGCAAGAUCUAGGCCGUAGAUUUAUAAUCCGAUGAAUGUGAAUGAACCUCAGUAACAUAGAAUUCAAGCCAUUGAUCUUGAUCCUGCGGCUCAGAUCUAUCCCCGACCCAGCCUCCCCUUGAUCUAUUCUAGGUCGUACAGAUCUAAUCCUACGGUCCAGCCAACUCCAUACCCCUUCGUGGGACAAAAUCUCAUAAGAACCCCUCUGUUUUAUAGAACUAACCCGCAGUCCGUAGUUACUGUUGCCUGAGUCUAGGGCUUUUUAUGGAUUAGCCCAUGUGAUUCCCAGAAAUUGGUGCGCAGUCCAGACAGUGAACAAAACUUAUAAAAUCAUUUAGGAAUGGAUUUUUAAUGUGAAAAUAAUGGCUAGAAUUUGUUUAACUCAUAGAAAAUUCAUACUUAGUCCAAAUUAAUCCAUUCCAGUUUCUAUAAUUUUGUAAUAUUAUUGUUUAUCAAUUAGUGCCACUGUUUUGACAUGAAAGACACAAUACAGUUCAUCUCCUAAUUAAUCUUGUAUCAAAUACAUGAAACCUUUGGAAAUUCAUAACUUCCCCAUUUUAAUUCCGAAUUGAACCGUUCUAGUUGCGUUAGUCUCGUAUGAAUAUUUACUAUGCAAUAAGAAUAUUUAUUAUACCAUGUCUCAUUCUUUUUUAAUUAGAUCUUUAUUUAACUUAUGUUGGUUAGUCUUGUUAAUCUGCUUAUCAUUAUAAUCUACUAAAAAUAUAUGAUCUAUGGUCAAGUUAUAAUUUGGAUUAAAGUUGAAUUAAUUACUACUUUAGGUUAUCUUUUCUCUGUAAUUAUAAAAUAAACAUAGAACCUAGUUUUAAUCAUUUAAUCACAUCAUAAAUUGAUGACCGUAACUCCAAUCUUAGUGGUUCUCGAUCCCGCAAUCUCGUAGCAACGCGUAGAUUAUUAUUAUUCAGUUUGUACUUAUAUUUGGUGUGAUGUUAAUUUUGUCUAUACCAUGUUUGUUUGUAUUUCUACGACUAGCAGUGAGGUCACGAGGAUCUGAAGAAUCAUCCUGGUACCUAGAAUCUCAAGUGCCAGGCAAGUUGUGCCUUUGACCACUUCUAUUACCCAAUAAUGUUCUUUAUUAUCACUAUUCAAUGCAUAGGUUUAAUUUUGAUGGGACCCAAUAGGUCACCCUAGUCUGAUUAUCUUUUACCUUGUUUACCCCUGAAUCACUUGGGUAGUUUUGCUAUUGCUUUAUAUGGUUUUGGGUUAAUAUUUCAUUAUAUCCAUGUUCCAAUUAUUCUUUUUAUUUUAUUUAUGUUCACGUCAAGGUCAUUGUAUUAUGUUAAUUGGAACAUGGAGCUUAACUUGAGAAACACGUGCCACCACAAGGGUGGAAUGGGACGCCCUUGGCUGACUAAUUAGGAAAGCUAGUGGAAGACUACCUUACCCAAAAUGGGCAAGGGCAGUAGGGGAGUUGCAUGCAAGGAGGUUCUCAGGUUGAUUUUGCUGCGAUGGCGGUCAGACGAGGGAUUCUUGCAAGAGCUCUUCCCAUAAACUGUAGCGGGUUUUUGGAAGCUAGUGGAACUUUGUAAAGGCCUCGUAGUGUUACCCUGCCUCGCUUCCUUGGUAGAGGUGUAUGGGAUUCAUGAUCCCUUGGCAGAUGGGUAACAUGACUUGUGGGUACAGGGUACAACCUCUGCAGAGUGUAAAACUGGUAUACUAGUCGAGCUCACGGUCAAGAGCAGCUCAGGACUCUCGCAUGAUUAAUUUAUGGAACUUAAAUUCAAUUUGUCAUUUGCAUUGCAUGGGAUUAUUUAUUAUGGUUUGGUAUUUACUUACAUUUAGUAAUUGCUAAUAAAAUCUGACCAACUUAUUAAAAGCAAUGCUCAGCUUUAACCCCUAUUGUUGAUCAGCCUUACACAUCACAUGAACUCCCACCUUUGGUGAGUUCAUGCCACAUUAUUCCCCAUAACUUGUUGAGCGAUGAACAUGUGUGAGCUCACCCUUGCUGUCUCACACCCCCCACAGGAGAAGUACAGGUGGUUCAAGAGGAGCCACACAACGAGGACUUUGACUUGAUCUAGGUGGCAUCUCCCAAUUGACUUUAUGGCGCUAAGGAUGGACUUUAGUUCGAUCUUUUUUGUAAAGACUUCCGCUAUGUAAUAAGUACUCUGAUUAUAUUGUGACAUUUAUCUUUAUACACUCUGUUAUUAUAUGUGUUGUCUUCUUUGGCG
rnacentral:lncRNA from 1 species